AAAAUCAAUGGAAGUGUUAUGUUACAACUGAUAAUGAAUAAUAACUGAGUUAGGUAACAUAGGCACUUGGAUCCACGUUUUCAUCAACCCCUCAAAUUGCUUUGUAAGAUACAAGAAGAUAAUGAAGAAAACUAAGAGCUAUACUAUAAUCCUACUCAGAGAAGUGCCAACCGUUGGCUUUGCAGUACUAUUAUGGAGAAACAGUUGGAAUGCUCUUGCUUUGGAAGGACCCCAUAUGAAGCAAAGAGGAUUCAUGAAUAAAAUGAAUGAAAGAGUUUUGAAGACAAACAAAGAAAACACAUACUUCAAUGUUUGGUCCUUCAAAAGGCAAUGAUCUGAAUUGUUAUGAAGAAUACUGGCCUUGAAGAACUGAUAGAAUUAGGUUCUCAGACCUUUGGGACUGCAUAUCACGGAAAAUGGAAAGGUACUAAUGUAGAAAUUGAGCAAAUUAAUGAUAGGUGUUUUGCUGUAAAGCCUUAAGAGCAGGACCACUUGGUCUGUAUCUCAUUAUUAUUGAUUUGUUUUUAUUUCUAUAAUCCCCUACUUUCUUUGGUAAUUAGGAAUCUAUCUUCAGUUGUUUUUGGUUUAUGCAUCAAGGUGAGAGAUGACUUUUGGAAUUAGGAAAUCAAGCUGACAGACUUGCACCAUCCAAAUGUGGUAGCUUUCUAUGUUGUUAUGCUAGAUAGCCCACGAGGCUCUGUGGAAACAAUAACAAAGUAUAUGGUCACUACAAGAAAAUAGGGGCUUAGCGGCGGUUGAAAGUAGGACCGACGGC